GUGCUCGCUUCUGCCACACAUAAUAAAAUUGGAACGAUACAGAGAUUAGCAUGGCCCCUGCGUAAGGAUGACACGCUAAUUCGUGAAGCGCUCCAUAUUUUU